rnacentral:rRNA from 1 species
AUAACACCUGGAAACAGAUGCUAAUACCGCAUAACAACUUGGACCGCAUGGUCCGAGCUUGAAAGAUGGCUUCGGCUAUCACUUUUGGAUGGUCCCGCGGCGUAUUAGCUAGAUGGUGGGGUAACGGCACACCAUGGCAAUGAUACGUAGCCGACCUGAGAGGGUAAUCGGCCACAUUGGGACUGAGACACGGCCCAAACUCCUACGGGAGGCAGCAGUAGGGAAUCUUCCACAAUGGACGAAAGUCUGAUGGAGCAACGCCGCGUGAGUGAAGAAGGGUUUCGGCUCGUAAAACUCUGUUGUUAAAGAAGAACAUAUCUGAGAGUAACUGUUCAGGUAUUGACGGUAUUUAACCAGAAAGCCACGGCUAACUACGUGCCAGCAGCCGCGGUAAUACGUAGGUGGCAAGCGUUGUCCGGAUUUAUUGGGCGUAAAGCGAGCGCAGGCGGUUUUUUAAGUCUGAUGUGAAAGCCUUCGGCUCAACCGAAGAAGUGCAUCGGAAACUGGGAAACUUGAGUGCAGAAGAGGACAGUGGAACUCCAUGUGUAGCGGUGAAAUGCGUAGAUAUAUGGAAGAACACCAGUGGCGAAGGCGGCUGUCUGGUCUGUAACUGACGCUGAGGCUCGAAAGUAUGGGUAGCAAACAGGAUUAGAUACCCUGGUAGUCCAUACCGUAAACGAUGAAUGCUAAGUGUUGGAGGGUUUCCGCCCUUCAGUGCUGCAGCUAAACGCAUUAAGCAUUCCCGCCUGG